GAUGAACGCUAGCGGGAGGCCUAACACAUGCAAGCCGAGCGGUAGAGUUUCUUCGGAAACUUGAGAGCGGCGCACGGGUGCGUAACACGUGUGCAACCUACCUUUAUCUGGGGGAUAGCCUUUCGAAAGGAAGAUUAAUACCCCAUAAUAUAAUGAUUGGCAUCAAUUAUUAUUGAAAACUCCGGUGGAUAGAGAUGGGCACGCGCAAGAUUAGAUAGUUGGUGAGGUAACGGCUCACCAAGUCAAUGAUCUUUAGGGGUCCUGAGAGGGAGAUCCCCCACACUGGUACUGAGACACGGACCAGACUCCUACGGGAGGCAGCAGUGAGGAAUAUUGGUCAAUGGGUGAGAGCCUGAUCCAGCCAUCCCGCGUGAAGGAUGACGGUCCUAUGGAUUGUAAACUUCUUUUGUACAGGGAUAAACCUACCCUCGUGAGGGUAGCUGAAGGUACUGUACGAAUAAGCACCGGCUAACUCCGUG
rnacentral:rRNA from 1 species